rnacentral:tRNA from 1 species
UUAAAUGAAACCAAAUUAGAGGUUUAUCACUGUUAAUGAUAUAAUUGAGUGAAACUCCAUUUAAA